UACGUAGGCAGCAAGCGUUGUUCGGAAUACUGGCGUAAGCGUGAUGCAGGCGGGCUAGCAAGUGGUGUAUGAAAGCUCCCGGCUCAACCGGGAAGGGUUAUGCCAGACUGCUAGUCUUGAGUGCGAGAGAGGAGCGUGGAAUUCCGGGUGUAGUGGUGAAAUGCGUAGAGAUCCGGAGGAACCCCCAGAGGCGAAGGCGGCGCUCUGGCUCGCAACUGACGCUCAGACACGACAGCAUGGGGAGCGAACGGG
rnacentral:rRNA from 1 species